AAAAUUAAUAUUUUUGGAACAAUAAGGUAAUAGUGUGUAUCUGAUAUCUCUCUCCCAAUCAAGACUUAAGAAAAAACCCUCACCUUCGCGAACAACACCCAAAACGCAACCCUGCUCACCAGCGCCGUCCUCUCUCUCAACCUUUAAUCAUCUCACCACCAGCGUCGUCCUCUCUCUCACUCGCAGUCGUCCUCUCUCUCACGAACCCUAACUCCAAAUCGAAGCUUAACUCCAAAUCGAAGCUUCUCUUUCUUUCUCCGGCCUCUACUCUCACGAAUCGAAGCUUGUCUUUCUCUCUCACAUCGAUUCAGGUCCCUGAACACUCUUAUUCCCUUGAUGAAGAGGGUAUUUGCAAGCAUGCCUUUGAGCUGAUUUUUGUGUUUGAUGAAGUAAUCUCUCUUGGGCACAAGGAAAAUGUUACCGUUUCACUAGUUAAGCAAUACUGUGAGAUGGAAAGUCAGGAAGAGAAGCUGCACAAGCUUGUUAUGUAGAGCAAGGUCAAUGAAACUAAGGAUCUUAUGAAGCCGAAAGCAAGUGAGAUUGAUAAGAGCAAGAUUGAAAAGAAUAGAGGUGAUAAAGGAGGCUUUGGUCCGUUGACGUCAAUGGGAUCUGGAAGAAUUGAAAAUAGCUUCAGUGAUUUGAGACUUUACUGUAGCACUGGAACUGGUUUUGGAAGCGGCUCUGGUUUUGGAUUGAAUACUGAUGCUGACUCUUUUUCUGUCAAGCCUAAAGGUCGUCCAACUGCAUCUGCCACUGCUCCGUCAAAGGGUCUUGGUAUGAAGCUGGGUAAAUCUCAAAAGACAAAUCAGUUCUUGGAAUCAUUGAAAGCAGAAGGUGAGGUCAUUCUUGUAGAUGUUCAGCCAAAACUUGGCCAGUCUCGGACAGCUGCCCCACCACUUACCGAUCCUGUGACUUUAUCGGUUGAAGAAAAAUUAAACGUCACACUGAAACGAGAUGGUGGAGUUAGAAAUUUUGAUGUUCAAGGACAAUUGUCUCUCCAAAUUCUUAACCAAGAAGAUGCACAUAUUCAAGUUCAGGUGUGGCGCUAAACAAUCUGGGACAUUGGGUUCAUCUUCUGAUGAAGCCCUUGAUGGAAUCAUUGGUUUUGGACAAUCAAAUUCUUCUGUGCUUUCACAGCUUGCUGCAUCUGGAAAGGUGAAAAGAAUAUUUUCGCACUGCCUUGAUAGUAUCAAUGGAGGAGGAACAUUUUCCAUAGGGGAAGUGGUGGAGCCAAAAUUUAACACUACUCCAUUGGUACCAAAUAUGAAGAGUUGAGAGCACCGCAAGAGUCUCAACAUGGAGAUGCAGUGAUGGAAGCAUUUGUUAAGGGCCGGAGUGGUUCAGUUCUGGGAAAAGGCUCCAUACUAAAAAUGUGUUCGAUGAACCCACGUCAUUAACCG